GACGAACGCUGGCGGCGUGCUUAACACAUGCAAGUCGAACGGAAAGGCCCUGCUUUUGUGGGGUGCUCGAGUGGCGAACGGGUGAGUAACACGUGAGUAACCUGCCCUUGACUUUGGGAUAACUUCAGGAAACUGGGGCUAAUACCGGAUAGGAGCUCCUGCUGCAUGGUGGGGGUUGGAAAGUUUCGGCGGUUGGGGAUGGACUCGCGGCUUAUCAGCUUGUUGGUGGGGUAGUGGCUUACCAAGGCUUUGACGGGUAGCCGGCCUCAGAGGGUGACCGGCCACAUUGGGACUGAGAUACGGCACAGACUCCUACGGGAGGCAGCAGUGGGGAAUAUUGCACAAUGGGCGGAAGCCUGAUGCAGCAACGCCGCGUGCGGGAUGACGGCCUUCGGGUUGUAAACCGCUUUCGCCUGUGACGAAGCGUGAGUGACGGUAAUGGGUAAAGAAGCACCGGCUAACUACGUG
rnacentral:rRNA from 1 species